rnacentral:lncRNA from 1 species
AGAAGCUGGAGUGCGCCCUCCAUUUACCUCCCUAAAGCCGCGGUUAACCGAGGCUUAACGAGCGUGUGCCGGCAAUUGACCACCCAGUAGCUGCGGUUAACCGCAGCUUAAUUGAUUGUUACUGGGUGGUCGCAGUUACACUUAGCCACCACAUGAUGGCGGUGUUCUAGAGCUGCCCGGGCAGCCAGCGCUUUUCUGCCCAGCUUUCCUGCAUCAAAACUUUUACGUGCAGGCACCGCUGAACCUCCAUCCCCUGGUUCUAAUUUGUACGGAUUUAACGAAUGCAUGUAAUUUUGGUAUUUUGUGUUGGGGGAAUGUUUU